AACGAACGCUGGCGGCGUGCCUAACACAUGCAAGUCGUGCGAGAAAGUUCCUUCGGGAGCGAGUAAAGCGGCGCACGGGUGAGUAACACGUAGGUAACCUGCCCCCCAGUCUGGAACAACUAGAGGAAACUCUAGCUAAUGCCGGAUGAGACCACGAUCCCUUCGGGGGUUGCGGCCAAAAGAUGGCCUCUACUUGUAAGCUAUCGCUGAGGGAUGGGCCUGCGGGCCAUUAGCUUGUUGGUGAGGUAACGGCUCACCAAGGCUGUGAUGGCUAGCUGGUCUGAGAGGAUGACCAGCCACACUGGGACUGAGACACGGCCCAGACUCCUACGGGAGCAGCAGUGGGAAUAUUGCGCAAUGGGCGAAAGCCUGACGCAGCGACGCCGCGUGGGUGA
rnacentral:rRNA from 1 species